UGCAUCUGAGGCCUGCGAGGAUGAGAACCUCCGGGGGCAGGAGGUUCGACUCGAGCGAAGCGAGAGAACGUUGCGUCAGCAACGGCCCGCAGGGCGAGCCACGAAGUGGUG
rnacentral:sRNA from 1 species